CAUGCAAGUAGUGUGGUGGUGGCGAGGUGGCAAGCUGCAUGCAGCUUGCAUGCAUGCUGGUGUGGUGGCGGCAAAGUGGUGGCAAGGUGGUGGCAAGGUGGCAGUGAUGCAUGCUCCCUCGGCAAGGUGAUCUGACAUAAAUGGAAUGAAUAAAACGGUAGAACGACAUGCGGCGGCCUACACGGGAGGAGAGGAAAGGAUAAUGCAUGCUGCUUGCCUGCUUGCUGGUGAAGGGUGGGUGCAUCCGUGUACAGAAAGAAAAAGGGAUGGUACAAAUGGAUAUGGGCGAAUCAAAAGAAUAGAUGGAAAAUAUUGCCUGCUGGGAAUUUUUAGAUAUGACAACCGAUUGAUUUUCAUGGAAUAAACAGAGUCUGAGGAAAAUGGAACAGAUAGUAGUCACGGCGAUUAAUAUUUAAUCGGACGAAUGGAAAUUGAAAAAAAGGAAUAGAUAAAGGAUGAGGCGAUUAAUAUUUAUUUUGGACGAUCGAGUGCAGAAUAAAAAGGAAUAUUACGACGAUAGAAGAUUGGACAUGAUAUUAAUCUGAUGGUAGAAGUUCGGAAUAAAAUAUUCUGAACGGAUAUUAGAUAAGACGAAUAAAAUUCGUCGGGCAAUCAAGGACUCAAAUAAAUAAAUUUCCGAUGACCGGAAAUUUUAUUUGCGCGGUUAAAUUCUCCGAAAAGAAUUUUAGUCACGCGGAUUUUUGGAGAUUCAGGGAUGCUGAGAAAAAAAUAGAUGAUUUAUUAUUCCUCUGGAA